rnacentral:sRNA from 1 species
GUCGUGAGAUGUUGGGUUAAGUCCCGCAACGAGCGCAACCCUCAUCUCCAGUUACCAGCGGGUAAUGCCGGGGACUCUGGAGGGACUGCCGGUGCCAAACCGGAGGAAGGUGGGGACGACGUCAAGUCAUCAUGGCUCUUACGUCCAGGGCUACACACGUGCUACAAUGGCCGAGACAGAGGGUCGCGAACCCGCGAGGGGGAGCCAAUCCCCAAACUCGGCCUCAGUUCGGAUUGGAGGCUGCAACUCGCCUCCAUGAAGCUGGAAUCGCUAGUAAUCGUGGAUCAGCUACGCCACGGUGAAUACGUUCCCGGGCCUUGUACACACCGCCCGUCACGCCAUGGAAGCUGUGAGCGCCCGAAGUCGGUGUCGGAACCCGCAAGGGACCAAGCCGCCUAAGGCGAGCGCAGUGACUGGGGCGAAGUCGUAACAAGGUAGCCGUAGGGGAACCUGCGGCUGGAUCACCUCCUUAACGGAGCAGCGAGUAGGCGACUCCCGAGCGCGCAAGCGUGAGGGGCCGUACGAAAGCGCAUCCCGUAUGUCGCUCGCCUCCACACCCGAUCUCACGUUCGAUUUCUUCAUUGCAGUCUGGCGGCCGCUCCGUGGAAUGGGCGGCCGCGCACGACUUCAGCUGUUUGACAACGGAAUGGGAAGUGUUCGUGGGAUAGCGAAUCAACACUAGUGAUUAAAGUUUUCGCCGUAUGGGACGGAUCACGGGGUUGGACAACCGGGAUCACGUUCCGGACCGAUCGAAAAAACCGAAUCACUCGUAAGUAGAUCGCGCGUGCUCUGCUUGCCACUGAUGUGGUCAAGCGAGCGAAGGCAUGUGGAGAAUGCCUGGGCACACGAAGGCGACGAAGGCCGUGGUAAGCUGCGAUAAGCUCGGGGGAGCGGCAAACACGCGAUGAUCCCGAGAUGG